UACAGAGGGGGCAAGCGUUGUUCGGAAUUACUGGGCGUAAAGGGCGCGUAGGCGGCCUUCUAAGUCGAACGUGAAAUCCCUGGGCUCAACCCAGGAACUGCGUCCGAUACUGGGAGGCUUGAAUCCGGGAGAGGGAUGCGGAACUCCAGGUGUAGCGGUGAAAUGCGUAGAUAUCUGGAGGAACACCGGUGGCGAAGGCGGCAUCCUGGACCGGCAUUGACGCUGAGGCGCGAAAGCCAGGGGAGCAAACGGG
rnacentral:rRNA from 1 species